rnacentral:rRNA from 1 species
UAGUCCACGCCCUAAACGAUGUACACUAGUUGUUGCAAUGCUAGACAUUGCAGUAAUGCAGUUAACACAUUAAGUGUACCGCCUGGGGAGUACGGUCGCAAGAUUAAAACUCAAAGGAAUAGACGGGGACCCGCACAAGCGGUGGAGCAUGUGGUUUAAUUCGACGAUACGCGAAGAACCUUACCUGGGCUUGACAUUUACAGAAUGAAUUAGAGAUAGUUUAGUGUCUGCUUGCAGAAACUGUAGGACAGGUGCUGCACGGCUGUCGUCAGCUCGUGUCGUGAGAUGUUGGGUUAAGUCCCGCAACGAGCGCAACCCACGUCAUUAGUUGCUAACACAUAAGGUGAGAACUUUAAUGAGACUGCCUGGGUAACCAGGAGGAAGGUGUGGACGACGUCAAGUCAUCAUGGCCCUUACGUCCAGGGCUACACACGUGCUACAAUGGGGCAUACAAAGAGCUGCAAUACCGCGAGGUGGAGCAAAUCUUAAAAAUGCCU